UACGUAGGUGGCGAGCGUUGUCCGGAAUUACUGGGUGUAAAGGGCGUGUAGGCGGGGAUAUAAGUCAGAUGUGAAAUUCCAUGGCUUAACUGUGGGGCUGCAUCUGAAACUAUAUUUCUUGAGUGCUGGAGAGGAAAGCGGAAUUCCUAGUGUAGCGGUGAAAUGCGUAGAUAUUAGGAGGAACACCAGUGGCGAAGGCGGCUUUCUGGACAGUAACUGACGCUGAGGCGCGAAAGCGUGGGGAGCAAACAGG
rnacentral:rRNA from 1 species